rnacentral:tRNA from 1 species
GCCUCCAAAGCAUUGCUGGCGAUGCACUCGGUUUGUACCCGAGAGAAGCGGGUUCGAUUCCUGCUGGGGGCU